GGCAUGUAUGUCCACCAAUGGUCAUUAGCUUUGGCUUGUUGGGUCCGAUCUUUUAUUGAUGAUUGAAUGUCGCUUUACGUCAACUCACACAAUUAGUGCUUGCAUGGAUCAACAGCUACACCUGCAGAGGUCUCAUUUUCACAUAGCAUACUCCUAGCUUCUGAUAUUUCUUUGAAGAGAUGGUGACCAUUCUCCUACCUUGAAAAUAUAUCCUUCUCUCUUUUAUCACAAUGCUAGCUUGUAAAUGGUCAUCACAGUCGUAGAAUUAGCGGUCACCAAGAACAUAUGAAAGCUUGGAUCAGGAUGGAUUACAAAUCCUCCUUGUGCUUCCGUUUCUCUGUUAGCAGAUGAUAGGCUUGUUUCUUUUCAUCGUUG
rnacentral:misc_RNA from 1 species